UACGUAGGGGGCUAGCGUUGUCCGGAAUCAUUGGGCGUAAAGCGCGCGUAGGCGGCCCGGUAAGUCCGCUGUAAAAGUCAAAGGCUCAACCUUUGAAUGUCAGUGGAUACUGCCGGGCUAGAGUCCGGAAGAGGCGAGUGGAACUCCUGGUGUAGCGGUGGAAUGCGCAGAUAUCAGGAAGAACACCGACGGCGAAGGCAGCUCUCUGGGACGGUACUGACGCUGAGACGCGAAAGCGUGGGGAGCGAACAGG
rnacentral:rRNA from 1 species